rnacentral:piRNA from 1 species
UGCCCUUGGACGCUCCUGGAGCUUUGUGC